rnacentral:lncRNA from 1 species
CAGCUGGCUGGAGGAAUUUUGGAAGGGGUGAGGCACACACUUUCUUCUAUGUUCCUGAAACCACAACAUUGUUAGGACUCAUCUGUUCAUGAGACCAGACCAAUAGAAAAUGAGCACUUCGUGGAUAAAAAAUACAGAUGGAAACUUAGUAAAUGUGACCUCCAGUGCUGGAGAUGGACCUAAUGGGAAGUGUUUGAGUCAUGAGAGAAUAUCCUUUAUGAAUGGCUUGGUGCCUUCCCUGUGGCCAUGAGUUACUACAAGAUCUGAUUGUUAAAAAAAGAUUCUAGGACUUCCUGUCCCUCUGUCUUGCUCCCUGUUUUACCAUGUGACACGCCUGCUUCCCCUUC